GUCCAACAUAGCUCAGUUGGUAGAGCAUGAGACUUACAUGAGACCCACAACCCUUAAUCUCAGGUUUGUGGGUGUGAGCCCCAUGUUGGGCA